GGGAAAGAUUUAUCGCUAAUGGAUGAGCCCGCGUGAGAUUAGGUAGUUGGUGGGGUAAUGGCCUACCAAGCCGACGAUCUCUAGCUGGUCUGAGAGGAUGAUCAGCCACACUGGAACUGAGACACGGCCCAGACUCCUACGGGAGGCAGCAGUGGGGAAUAUUGGACAAUGGGGGAAACCCUGAUCCAGCCAUGCCGCGUGAAUGAUGAAGGCCUUAGGGUUGUAAAGUUCUUUCGUUGGUGAAGAUAAUGACGGUAACCAAAGAAGAAGCCCCGGCUAACUUCGUGCCAGCAGCCGCGGUAAUACGAAGGGGGCUAGCGUUGUUCGGAAUCACUGGGCGUAAAGCGCGCGUAGGCGGUCUAGCAAGUCAGAGGUGAAAGCCUGGAGCUUAACUCCAGAACUGCCUUUGAAACUGCUAGACUGGAAUCUUGGAGGGGGUAGUGGAAUUCCUAGUGUAGAGGUGAAAUUCGUAGAUACUAGGAGGAACACCGGUGGCGAAGGCGGCUACCUGGACAAGUAUUGACGCUGAGGCGCGAAAGCGUGGGGAGCAAACAGGAUUAGAUACCCU
rnacentral:rRNA from 1 species